AGAGUUUGAUCCUGGCUCAGAUUGAACGCUGGCGGCAGGCCUAACACAUGCAAGUCGAGCGGAUGAGUGGAGCUUGCUCCAUGAUUCAGCGGCGGACGGGUGAGUAAUGCCUAGGAAUCUGCCUGGUAGUGGGGGACAACGUUUCGAAAGGAACGCUAAUACCGCAUACGUCCUACGGGAGAAAGCAGGGGACCUUCGGGCCUUGCGCUAUCAGAUGAGCCUAGGUCGGAUUAGCUAGUUGGUGAGGUAACGGCUCACCAAGGCGACGAUCCGUAACUGGUCUGAGAGGAUGAUCAGUCACACUGGAACUGAGACACGGUCCAGACUCCUACGGGAGGCAGCAGUGGGGAAUAUUGGACAAUGGGCGAAAGCCUGAUCCAGCCAUGCCGCGUGUGUGAAGAAGGUCUUCGGAUUGUAAAGCACUUUAAGUUGGGAGGAAGGGCAGUAAGUUAAUACCUUGCUGUUUUGACGUUACCGACAGAAUAAGCACCGGCUAACUUCGUGCCAGCAGCCGCGGUAAUACGAAGGGUGCAAGCGUUAAUCGGAAUUACUGGGCGUAAAGCGCGCGUAGGUGGUUCAGCAAGUUGGAUGUGAAAGCCCCGGGCUCAACCUGGGAACUGCAUCCAAAACUACUGAGCUAGAGUACGGUAGAGGGUGGUGGAAUUUCCUGUGUAGCGGUGAAAUGCGUAGAUAUAGGAAG
rnacentral:rRNA from 1 species